ensembl:lncRNA
CAAAGUGCUGUUUGUAUAAGUGCUAUAAAGUUAAUAUAGUGAUUUCUUUUAUAACAGUUCAUGAAUUAUGGAUCAGGCGUAUUGAUAAACUCCACUACAAUCUCUUCAUGUCCUGGGGAAAAUCCAUAAAAAUGUCUGCUUAAGAAACAUAUAUAUAUAUAUUUUUCAUUUCUAGUUUCCAGACCAAUGUUCUAUGCAUGAGCAAGUAAAAUAUGUACAUGUAUAAUAUAAUCCAUAUGGCUCCUAUUCCCACCAGCCUGUGGAAAACCAAUCCCCACACACAGACUGCAUCGAUUACACCGUACCCCCCUAAAGGAAAAGCUCUCACCCUGGAAAUAUCUCCCAGGAUGCAGAUUUAGCAAAAACACGGCGAUAUUUUAUUACCGCGUUUAGUCUGAGGCUAGAUACGGCGGGGAUUUCAUCUGCCUUCUCUCGUCUCGAGGAGAAAAUGCUGCAGAUCUCAGUAGAAUCGCACGAUCGCUAAAGUGAGCAUGCUAUAAAUAAGGAAUAAAACACUUCAAGAAACGCCGUUUUUGUACUCUUACAGGAAACUAAUCGGCGACGGAAUGGUCUGACGAAGCAGAGUUACUGUCACCAUUCUGAAGUUGGUUAUUUCUCUGUAACAUCACAUCCGGAAGCGUUUUAAUCCUCCUACAGCACAGUAAUUUGCCAAUUCGUUUGAAGUUUUUCGUUAAUUAAGGUAUGAUGUUCUACAUCUUAUCCAUUUACAGGUAUGUAUAACAUUCUGGAACGUAUACGAGAGACGUUAGUUAUCAUCAGUCUGUCUCUUUUAUAGAUUACAAUGAGAGUUGGUUAAAAGGACAGCCUUAGCUGCAGAAACUGGCAUCUUAGUUAGCUGCAGAACUGGCAGGUUAGUUAGCUGCAGAAACUGGCAUCUUAGUUAGCUGCAGAAACUAGCGGGUUAGUUAGCUGCAGAAACUAGCAUCUUAGUUAGCUGCAGAAACUAGCAUCUUAGUUAGCUGCAGAAACUAGCAGGUUAGUUAGCUGCAGAAACUAGCAUCUUAAUUAGCUGCAGAAACUAGCAGGUUAGCUAACUUAGCUAAUUUUAGAGCUGCACAAAUUUCUGGUUAUUUUUAAAGGUUUUUUAUUUUAUUUUAUUUUGUACAAGUUUGGCUGCUGCUAAGUAAAAAGUGAAAUACCAGCAACAAAUUCAUGCUAGCUUGCUAGCACUUACGUGACUAGCUGGCUAGUCGUUGUGGAUUGCAGGUGGAUGGGUGUGUUUUUAUGUUGCAUAUUCAUGUACUUUCGUAAAUCCUGCUGUGUUUUUUUAUUUUAUUUAUUUAUUUAUUUUAAACGAGGCUAAAGAUGUAGAGGUGUUGCUAGGUCCUUUCUUUUUCCACAGAAGUUAUUGGUGAAAAUUUGCACAUGCGUGCGUACUUCUAACUUUCAAAUGUGGCACAGUGAUGUUUCCUUAGGGUAUCCUUUGGUAUCCUAAUGAGAAAAUCAAUCAGUUCAGAGAAUCUUGUGCUCAGUGUGGUGGUGGUGGUAUUAAAUUUUGGCUUGGUUUCAUUUCUGAGCGCGGCGUCUUGGCGUCUCCCUCGUUACUGUACGAUUGCUUUUCUCCUCCACACGAGACAGCUGUUGUGUAAUACGCUGAAAUCCGCGGUAAUUACGGACACCGGGGACCUUUACUUUUGUUUCUCCGAAGCAUUGAGACACCUACACUAAUCUCGGCGUUUUCCCGCUAACACCGAGCUCCUUUUAGAUAAUUCGUUUAAGACGGGAAAGCUUUCGUUCCUCCCCCCCAGGUGCCAUGCUGAUUAUUUCAUUUUAGCAUGUGAUUCACCGGCAGCGUGGCGAUGAAGCAGGCGUAAAGUGAGUCACGUAUCCCACGAACAUCUGUGUGUUACAGUGAGCAACGUUCACUCCAGCACCUUCUGCAUCCUGACGUUUAUUUUUAGAAAGAUUAAACCUCCUGGGAGCCAGACCUUUGGAGGUGAUCCUAGAUUAUACAUAAAUCCGCAGGGAGAAGUCGUGGAGCGCCGAGGUCGAAGGUACCGUAUAGCGGGGUCUUGUAAAAUGAGCUCCGGUCUUCACACCUGUGACGGAUGAGCUCACAUAAACGUGAAGGUCCUGCGGUGGAAGGUUAAUCGGGGGAAAUUUGUAUUCUCUCUUGAAGCUAGAGCUCAGGUGCAGGUUUAUAAGCCAUCUGGAGCACAACAACACAGCACGCGGCAUCUGUUUCCUUUCUAGUCGCUUUACUGUAAUAUGAUGUGUGGUUGAACAGCCUCCCCAGGCCCCGGCGCUCCUUCUGGACUAAUGUCUCCUCUCUGUAGAGCGAUCUUUAAUUCCUAAUUAUGUGCCUUGCCUGAUGCCAGGAAAUUACAGAAUUAAAGUCGAGUUAAAGAACAUUACCAGCGUUCAAUUUACGUCAUUUUCGGCAGCAGUUAACUCGUAAAGUCGGAUCUGUCGGCUCUUGAUGUAUUAUGCAGUGACUGAUGUUUGGCUGCGUCGCAUUUAUUCUCUCCUUAAAACGACGAACGAUUGGCUUUAUAAACGAUCAGGAAGUACAACAGGGCGCACGGUGGCUUAGUGGUUCAUCUCACACCUCCAGGGUCGGGGG